GAAACUUUCACUGAGUAUAAUAUAGAAUUUUCUAGUAGUGUGACUGAGUGUAUAUUUUGUGCAUCACUGCAACAAGUACAUGUGGGCUGUAUUUAAAGGGACUCUAUAGUCACCUGAAUAACUUUAGCUUAAUGAAGCAGUUUUGGUGUAUAGAAUAUGCCCCUGCAGCCUCACUGCUCAAUCCUCUGCCAUUUAGGAGUUAAAUCCCUUUGUUUGUGAACCCUAGUCACACCUCCCUGCAUGUGACUUGCACAGCCUUCCAUAAACACUUCCUUUAAAGAGAGCCCUAUUUAGGCUUUCUUUAUUGCAAGUUCUGUUUAAUUAAGAUUUUCUUAUCCCCUGCUAUGUUAAUAGCUUGCUAGACCCUGCAAGAGCCUCCUGUAUGUGAUUAAAGUUCAAUUUAGAGAUUGAGAUACAAUUAUUUAAGGUAAAUUACAUCUGUUAGAAAGUGAAACCAGUUUUUUGUUUUUUUUUCAUGCAGGCUCUGUCAAUCAUAGCCAGGGGAGGUGUGGCUAGGGCUGCAUAAACAGAAACAAAGUGAUUUAAC